AUUGAACGCUGGCGGCAGGCCUAACACAUGCAAGUCGAACGCGUGGCGGACGGGUGAGUAAUGUCUGGGAAACUGCCCGAUGGAGGGGGAUAACUACUGGAAACGGUAGCUAAUACCGCAUACCAUCGGAUGUGCCCAGAUGGGAUUAGCUAGUAGGUGGGGUAACGGCUCACAUAGGCGACGAUACCUAGCUGGUCUGCGAGGCUGACAAGCCACAUGGGAACUGAGACACGGUCCAGACUCCUACGGGAGCAAGCAGUGGGGAAUAUUGCACAAUGGGCGCAAGCCUGAUGCAGCCAUGCCGCGUGUAUGAAGAAGGCCUUCGGGUUGUAAAGUACUUUCAGCGAGGAGGCGUGACUCGCAGAAGAAGCACCGGCUAACUCCGUGCCAGCAGCCGCGGUAAUAC
rnacentral:rRNA from 1 species